GUUCAAUUCUACCAAAGCAAAUAUGAAAAGAAGAAAAGUGUUAUUCAAAAAAUGAGUGAAUGCUCACCAAGAUAUUUUUAGUCUCUGUACUUAACCAAAUCCAAUCCUCGUUUGCGCGCAUUAUUCUUCCCAACCUUGUUUCUUCUGGGUUAAUGAAGAAAAUUAAAAUAAAAUAAUUUCAGGGAUUAAAAAAAAAAAAGAAAAUUAUAAAAAGGUCCGGACGGUUCAUGUCAUGAUCGGGCAGCGGCUGAGACAAAGAAGGAUAACCUGAAGAGGAGAGAAGGAAGGACCUACCCAUCCAUUGCCAGAUAACAGAAUAAUGGAUGAAGAUCUCCAUUGUAUUUCAGAAACCUCUCAGUUUGAGAGAUCAGAUUCAGCUGAGAAAGCCAUUGAGUUGCUUGUACAAGACCAGGACUACACUGGGAAGAUAAAGGAGUUGCAGGCUUAUCUUGACAAAGUAAACGAAAUUGUGAAACCAGGUUGUUCACCAGAAGUUCUGAAGGUGGCUUUGAACUCCAUAUCCUCCCUGGUAAACUUCCUUUCUCACAUCUCCUCCUCUCCAAAACCCCUUGCCUCACUCUGAAGUCUUAAGCAAAUCUUCCUUCAGUUGGCAGAGUUAAUACAAUGAACAUCUCUCUUAUGUUUUCCCUUUGACAAUAAGGAAGCUCUAUUGAUGUAUUUCUUCUUAUUGACGAUUCCCUCUACAACUUCGAAUCCAAUCUCUUUAGAAUAAUGUGUAGCUUUAAUUGUAAUAUCCUGCUCCUGCCCCUCAUACUUCUUUAGCAUCCCUAGUUCACCGACAAUGGCUUGGGCUAGAUCUAUGAAACAUGUGUUCAAAUCACUAUUAGGAAUCAUAUUUACUAAACUUUAACCCA